rnacentral:rRNA from 1 species
AUUGAACGCUGGCGGCAGGCUUAACACAUGCAAGUCGAGCGGGCGAGGUUGCUUCGGUAACUGAGCUAGCGGCGGACGGGUGAGUAAUGCUUAGGAAUCUGCCUAUUAGUGGGGGACAACAUUCCGAAAGGAAUGCUAAUACCGCAUACGCCCUACGGGGGCAAGCAGGGGAUCUUCGGACCUUGCGCUAAUAGAUGAGCCUAAGUCAGAUUAGCUAGUUGGUGGGGUAAAGGCCUACCAAGGCGACGAUCUGGAGCGGGUCUGAGAGGAUGAUCCGCCACACUGGGACUGAGACACGGCCCAGACUCCUACGGGAGGCAGCAGUGGGGAAUAUUGGACAAUGGGCGCAAGCCUGAUCCAGCCAUGCCGCGUGUGUGAAGAAGGCCUUUUGGUUGUAAAGCACUUUAAGCGAGGAGGAGGCUACUUGGAUUAAUACUCUAGGAUAGUGGACGUUACUCGCAGAAUAAGCACCGGCUAACUCUGUGCCAGCCGCCGCAGUAA